rnacentral:rRNA from 1 species
GUGGGGAAUAUUGCACAAUGGGGGAAACCCUGAUGCAGCGACGCCGCGUGAGUGAAGAAGUAUUUCGGUAUGUAAAGCUCUAUCAGCAGGGAAGAAAAUGACGGUACCUGACUAAGAAGCCCCGGCUAACUACGUGCCAGCAGCCGCGGUAAUACGUAGGGGGCAAGCGUUAUCCGGAUUUACUGGGUGUAAAGGGAGCGUAGGUGGUAUGGUAAGUCAGAAGUGAAAACCCAGGGCUCAACCUUGGGAUUGCUUUUGAAACUAUCAGACUAGAGUGCAGGAGGGGUAAGUGGAAUUCCUAGUGUAGCGGUGAAAUGCGUAGAUAUUAGGAGGAACACCAGUGGCGAAGGCGGCUUACUGGACUGUAACUGACACUGAGGCUCGAAAGCGUGGGGAGCAAACAGGAUUAGAAACCCCUGUAGUCC